AGUGAACGCUGGCGGUAGGCCUAACACAUGCAAGUCGAACGGCAGCACAGUAAGAGCUUGCUCUUACGGGUGGCGAGUGGCGGACGGGUGAGGAAUACAUCGGAAUCUACUUUUUCGUGGGGGAUAACGUAGGGAAACUUACGCUAAUACCGCAUACGACCUACGGGUGAAAGCAGGGGAUCUUCGGACCUUGCGCGAUUGAAUGAGCCGAUGUCGGAUUAGCUAGUUGGCGGGGUAAAGGCCCACCAAGGCGACGAUCCGUAGCUGGUCUGAGAGGAUGAUCAGCCACACUGGAACUGAGACACGGUCCAGACUCCUACGGGAGGCAGCAGUGGGGAAUAUUGGACAAUGGGCGCAAGCCUGAUCCAGCCAUACCGCGUGGGUGAAGAAGGCCUUCGGGUUGUAAAGCCCUUUUGUUGGGAAAGAAAAGCGGCAGGUUAAUACCCCGCUGCUCUGACAGUACCCAAAGAAUAAGCACCGGCUAACUUCGUG
rnacentral:rRNA from 1 species